GUCGUUAUGGCCGAAUGGGAAGGCCUCUGCCUGCAAAGCAGAUGUGUGGGGGUUCGAUUCCCUCUGACGACUCCA
rnacentral:tRNA from 1 species